rnacentral:lncRNA from 1 species
UAUAUGAACCACAACUCAUGACGGUUUUUGGUAAUCAGAGAACGGCAAAGGACUUGAUGGACAAGUUUACCAGACAGAGAACUUCUACGAAGAGGGAGCUGGAGAAGACGGCCGAAAGAUGACUGCUUAAGCCACUCAAACUCCAAAAAACCAUCCAAGACAUCGACAAUGUCAAGGAGAUACUCCGGCCUAGAAUAUGAAUUG